UGCCUUCUGCCAUGAUCGAACAUUUCCUGAGGCCUCCUUCGAAGUGGAGCAGAUGCUGCCAUGCUUCCUGUGCAGCCUGUGGAACUGCGAGCCAAUCAAACCUCUUUUCUUUAUACAUUACCUAGUCUCAGGGACUUUAAGAAGCUGCUGAAGAACAAAAAUGAAGGUGGGAGCUGUUGGUGUCGAGUGACUCAUAGCACCAUCCUUCAGGGACGGUGUGGUUGGCCAGAGUAUGGUCAGGGAGAGCCAAGAGAAGAAGUGCUUCUGAGUAUGACCCAGCAGGGUGGAAAGAAGGAGUCUCCCAAGUGCACAUUUGUUGGAGGAAGCUUUUGUGGGCUCCUGACAUUCCAUUAUUCUAGAACUACAAGGAGACACCCUCCAGAGAAAGCAGCAACAAGGCACCAUCUUGGAAGCUGA
rnacentral:lncRNA from 1 species